rnacentral:rRNA from 1 species
GACGAACCGUCCAAACGUUAUUCGGAAUCACUGGGCUUAAAGGGUGCGUAGGCGGAGAGGCAAGUCAGAGGUGAAAGCCCACGGCUCAACCGUGGAAGUGCCCCUGAAACGGCCUCUCUCGAGGGAGAUAGGGGCGUGCGGAACUCAGGGUGGAGCGGUGAAAUGCGUAGAUAUUCUGAGGAACACCGGUGGCGAAAGCGGCACGCUGGGUCUUUGCUGACGCGGAGGCACGAAAGCUAGGGGAGCAAACGGG